GAAAUAACUGACUGAACUAAUAGAUUGAUAUGUUAUAAAAACAAUAUUAGGUCAAUUAAUGUUGAAGGCCAGUUUCUCAGCCUCAUACAAGAAAAAAGUUUAUAUUUUUCUUACAUUGACAAAUUAUUGUAUUUUUACAGGUGAGAAAACAUGUGAGAAUAUUUGUCAUGUGAUGUUUUAAAAUUAAGUGUCCUUAACCUCAGACAUAACGUCCAAUACAAUCUAAGUAUGAUGUAUACAAGCUGAAGCCCCGCCUAUCUUAAUUACCAUGCUUGAGCAAACACUGAUACAAACAAAGCAAGCAAGCCAAACAAAGAUUUGUCUUGCUAGCAUUAAUGUAAAAGCUGUAAAUAAAUUCUUUAUAUUAUAUUU
rnacentral:lncRNA from 1 species